rnacentral:miRNA from 1 species
GUGCCAGUUCUGUGAUAAUUCGGGGGCUGUAUUUUUGGUUGUUGACGUGAAACAACCAAAAAUACAGCCCCCGAAUUAUCACAGAACUGGCAC